UGAAAUAACUUAUUUCCCAAUCAAACGACACAUAAAAGCGAAAACUAGUAUUGCAAAUAAAUGUCCUAUGAAAGAAGUUGAUUAAUGACAGAGAAAAAAGAAUUGAUCCCUCAUAUCACAAGUCAAGGACUCAAGUUUUUGUGAAAAGGGAAAGGAAAACAGAGGAAAAAGGAUAAAACAAAACAUGAAUAAGCACUGGCACUAUGCUGCAUAUUAAAGGAAGUUCCUAAUCAAACAAGCUCAAUCCCAAGUCCUCGUCGUCACUCUCCUCCUUUUUCUCCUCCUGCAAACACAUAAUCAAUUACACACGUCAUAAUCUAAAAAAAAAAAUUAACGUUUUUGUCAUCUGUUUACCAAUCAAAAAACUUGUACAUAUAUAAUUAUAUAGUGACUUUCUUACCUUUUUCUCCUCAGCGGCGGGAGCAGCAGCGGCAGCACCACCUCCGGCAACCGGCGCAGCAACGGCAACGGCUGCACCACCGCCACCUGUCCCAACAUUCAAGAUGAGGUCCUCGACGUCCCUCUUCUCAAACAGCUUCGCAAAAAGGCUCGGCCAAUAGGACUCCACUGAAAUAUUUGCUGCCUUC
rnacentral:lncRNA from 1 species